CUACGGGGUGCUGCAGUGGGGAAUAUUGGACAAUGGGCGAAAGCCUGAUCCAGCAAUGCCGCGUGAGUGAUGAAGGCCUUAGGGUUGUAAAGCUCUUUCAGUGGGGAAGAUAAUGACGGUACCCACAGAAGAAGCUCCGGCUAACUCCGUGCCAGCAGCCGCGGUAAUACGGAGGGAGCUAGCGUUGUUCGGAAUUACUGGGCGUAAAGCGCGCGUAGGCGUCUUUCAAGUUGGGAGUGAAAUCCCGGGGCUUAACCUCGGAAUUGCUUCCAAAACUGUUGGACUAGAGAGUGGUAGAGGAUGGCGGAAUUCCUAGUGUAGAGGUGAAAUUCGUAGAUAUUAGGAGGAACACCAGAGGCGAAGGCGGCCAUCUGGGCCAUUUCUGACGCUAAGGCGCGAAAGCGUGGGGAGCAAACAGGAUUAGAUACCCCAGUAGUC
rnacentral:rRNA from 1 species